ACAAUUACAGAAUAUAGCUUUAUUUAUAGAAUCUUACAAAUAAAACAUUUACAGUCCACAUAAGUUAAUUUUCUUUUCUAAUUUCUUCUCAUACACCUGAGUUAUUUAAAAAAAUACUGUGAUGGAACUGCAGAACUGUAAAGGGAAAUAAGAACAAUAAAAUCCUAACCUCUCUUGCAAAAAUCAGACAACUUUGUUUUAAAGUAGAUGCCCAGCAUAUUGCCAUCUCUUUGGAAGAGGACUUACUAUACUCAGCUCUUACGCUACCCAAACAGAGAAGCCUUCUUUUUAAAACCCAAGGUUAAGGACCAGUGAAGAAUAGCUCCAAUUUGACACUAGACACAAAAUACCUUUGGGGGCAAAGACAGGGGCAAGCUGUGUGCCGGUGGUGAAGUGAGAAGGAGCAGAACCCCUGUCCCUGCCUCACUGUUCCUGCACGUGACAUACACUUUCCUUGCUAACUUAUUAAUAGGAGCUGGUGCAUCUGGAAAAUGAGGUCGAAGCUGCUAAUGCCAGGGGUGAAAAAGUCCUCCCACUGACUUGCUACUCCUUAGACUUCUAAUAUGUACAAAUGCUUGAAACAGCAAAUUCAACAACUAAAAAUCAAAAGAAAUUGCCAAUUUUUGACUCAUGAGGCAAAGCUGUUGCCACAAUCAGUGGCGACUCAAGUCAGACGAUGUGAGCGUCUCCGCCCCUCCUAAGCUCCGACUAGGACUGACCUCUGCGCCAACUACGGUUUAAAGAGGAUUUCCCUUUGAGGCAGCUGUCUAUGGAAGGAAAUUUCUUAAGGUAAUAUAGGUGUGCACAAAAAGGGAAAACACCCUAUUUCAUUUUUCAAUUUGUUAAAGAUUAUAGUUUUGAGCUCCUCUCCUAAACUAGAAAUCCACUAACUCUAACUUAGUAUUCUACUCCAAGACAAAGGGUAUUAUGUUUAAGGAAUGAUAGGAUCUAUUGGGAAUGCUAAAAUUAUAAAUUUAAUACAUCAAUGCGAGUUAGGUUAAAGCAAAAUCUUCCAGAGUCUUCAACUUUGAGUUAUUUUCUGCUAGCUCCUGAAAGCAGCUUGAGAAAAAUAAAACAGAAAAGACAAAGAACCGUUUAAAAACAACAAUAAUAAUGACAAUAUAAAAAGUUAGAUUCCAACAUUCAAGGAAUUGGUUCUUUGGUAAAACUGGACCAUAAUCCCACCAGGAAAUCAGUCCUGAUAUUUAAUCUAGAAUCUCCAUCACUGAAAUUUUCCCUCUUCAGCGUAUUCUCAAAUGUAUUGAAGCCAACAGGCAAGAUAAAAACAAAACUUAAAAAAAGUAUCACCAGCAGUUUUUCCUGCUCACGUUCUUUUCAAGAAUAUUCCUGGUUUGACAGAUGUCUCCCAAGAAGAGAAAACAAAACGGAUGCUGCUUGUGAUUACUGAGAGCGGACAGUUUUUCUAUGUAAGAGAAAAGCUCAGGCAUUGGUAGUGAACCAGUACUCCUGUCAGCCAUGCACAUGAAUCAGUUUGCAAACAUGGCCCCUGGGCUCCAACUGUGGGCACCACUAAGAAAGGCUUCUGGAGAGACAGGCUCCCCAAAGUGGCUAAAGAAUCUCACAUUAUCAAUAUGAUAAUAAUAAAUCAAUUCACCUAGUGAACCUGGAGAAGAGCUCCCCUUGAAGCCAGAGCUCGGAGGCAAGGGCUCCACAGUGGCUAAGGCUGGCCUACAGUUUUAAAGACAAGUUAUCUCCAUCCAUUUUCUGGAGAGAGUUAGAGAAAUUCAUAUUCAAUUCAAUGCAGGAUUCGACUUUUUUUGCAAGGAAGCAGUAACCUAGACGGGUCAUUUAAAACCCAUCUGUAGCAUAAUCAUUAGGCCAACCAUUCUGCAAACAUCUGCGAUGCCCUAAGUGAAGUUUGUGCCCUUACAUUUCAGAGACCCCCUAUUAGUCAUGCUUUGAUUUAUGGAAGCGGCAAAUCCUAAAUUUUGCCUGCACUGAUUCCAUUUCUGAUUACCCUUGUCUAAGUAGAGCAUAAAUGGCACCCCAUUUCUACAAGUCAGCUUGCCACUCUGCAGACGUCUCAACCUGGGGGAGGAUAGUUUGUGCAGUCUCCCCUCUAACACAGAGGUCUCAAAUGUGCUCAGAAUGUGCUUCUAGGAGGCAGCUACAAAGUCUCUUAGAAGAUGGCAGUGGGGAAGAGGAGGUCAAAAUCACAGCCAAACCAACUGUUUUCUUGCAGACAGCCUGAGCCUCCAUUCUGUCAGCGUUAACCUGAAAGAGGAGGUCCAGGCAGCCACACCGCCACGUUAGCUCACUCGGACAGCCGUGAAACACCAGGUGCUGUUACAAAAUCAAUAUCCAGCAUCUCAGUAGGAACAAGUGAGCAUCCUGACAAGACACACAGCAGUGGUUCGACUUCCUCUCCCAUUCAGGAUGAACCUUGCCUCACCUCUCACCCUGCUCAUGUGUUCUGACUUCAGGUUCUCUUUGAGAGAAGUAAUAGGCAAUUAAACAGACUUUGAAAAAAUGGGAAGGCUUCCUGUCUCCUGUCUCUUCUAUUGGCCAGCUGGAGGUCCAAGGUGCCCAGCUAGAGUCAUGGGCCCCACACUAUGGAUUCAACUCUUGAUAUUUCUAGCCAAGUUAUAACCAUUGGCUCUAUUUUUGCAUUGUUGGGUAAAGGAUUCAAAACCUUUCAGCACUGGUUCCAAGAGGAGGCCAAGGUAAUCAGAGAAAAAAGUCAGGCUUGUCUUGUAAGCUGCAUUCAGGUUCCAGAGUCACUGAGAGAAAAGGAUACAGCAUUUUACAAACGGCUGACAUUUGAAUGCAGGAAUACAGUCUGUGUCAGUUUUUCAUAGAACGGCCUCUUCCGUGGUGCAUUGUGGAUGGUAAGUCCUCGGGCUGGCGAUCGGGCAGCCCAGGGCCCGACUUCCAGUCCCACAGGCUCUUGGCAGAGCCCUACCCAAUCUGGAUCUGUCCUGAAUACAUGGUGAGGACCACCAUGAUGGUGAAUCCAGUCAGGAGGCCC
rnacentral:lncRNA from 1 species